rnacentral:tRNA from 1 species
UGGGGAAUCGUCUAAUGGUAGGACAGCAGUCUCUGGAUCUGCUUAUCGGGGUUCGAAUCCCUGUUCCCCAGCCA